rnacentral:lncRNA from 1 species
UUGGCCCAGUAGUUUCAGAGGAGAAGAUUUUUGUAAAAGAUAACUAAGAUUUACGGAACAUGGUUAAAAAUUGACUAUAAAGGGCCAUAACUCCUAAAGAGGUCAACUGACCAUUUCGGUCAUGUUGACUUAUUUGUAAAUCUUACUUUGCUGAACAUUUUUGCUGUUUACAGUUUAUCUCUAUCUAUAAUAGUAUUCAUGAU